rnacentral:rRNA from 1 species
GAAUAUUGGACAAUGGGGGAAACCCUGAUCCAGCCAUGCCGCGUGAGUGAAGAAGGCCUUAGGGUUGUAAAGCUCUUUCAGGGGGGACGAUGAUGACGGUACCACCAGAAGAAGCCCCGGCUAACUCCGUGCCAGCAGCCGCGGUAAUACGGAGGGGGCUAGCGUUGUUCGGAAUUACUGGGCGUAAAGCGCACGUAGGCGGCUUUUCAAGUCAGGUGUGAAAGCCCCGGGCUCAACCCGGGAACUGCACUUGAUACUGGAUGGCUAGAGUCCGGGAGAGGGUAGUGGAAUUCCCAGUGUAGAGGUGAAAUUCGUAGAUAUUGGGAAGAACACCAGUGGCGAAGGCGGCUACCUGGACCGGUACUGACGCUGAGGUGCGAAAGCGUGGGGAGCAAACAGG